rnacentral:misc_RNA from 1 species
GCGAUGUUGAAAAACUUGAAGAGGCCUUGAAUGGUAGUGGUUCAUCUGAAACUCAACCAUUCCGUGAUUCAAUUUCCAAGAAAGAAAAGCAAAAGAGAUUGUGGAAGAAGGUGAAUAACCAGCUGGUGGAGUAUCAUUCCUUGCCUGGCUAUUUGAAAGACAAUGAAUUCAUUCUUGGUCAUUACCGAUGCGAAUGGCCAGUGAAGCAGGCUUUACUCAGUGUUUUCACUAUUCACAAUGAGACUCUCAAUAUUUGGACGCAUUUGAUAGGAUUCUUUCUCUUCCUUGUGCUAACUAUAUAUACUGCAAAGAAGGUCCCGGAUAU